UAGGCUUUUAAUACGUCAGAAGAAGUUUGGCUAACGAAACGAAAUCAACCUUUAGGCCAACGUGACUGUGUAAAGUGUCAAAAAGUCUGGCUUAACGACACUGUAUAUAUUUUUGAUCAAUGGUCCCGAAAAGGAACGCAAAAGACGAAGAUACGUCAUGUUGCCAAGCUCGACAACGGAACCAAAGAGCCUAUAAUGAAAGUUCGAUAUGAAGCAGAAAAGGAAACCCAGGCCAUAACAUACACUUUGCGGUUUUGGAACAGUACUGAGAAGUGUGCCAUCUUUACUUUUACUUUGCUAGGUGACACAUGCGAGCAGUACGUCCGCCGAUCGCAAGCCGAAAAGGAAAUGCCUUCCUGUGACAAAGCGUACGAAAAGAUGUGUGGCUACUCGACUUACCCGGUUUUUAAACAAAGCUGCCUAAGACGCGUUGAUAUUUGUAUCGGUCUCUCGAGCAAAUGCUGAUUACAAGCAGAAAAGCAAAUAAAUUUCUAAGUUAUGAUA